rnacentral:lncRNA from 1 species
UUAAAAUUUGUUAUUUCUCCAGCGUGUCAAAUGUACUAGAAACAAUAUCUGGUGGUUACUGAGCAUUAAGAUCUGGCUACAGUAAGAGCUUUAUUGCUUGUCGUGUCCCUCCUUAUUUGAAGAAACUUCUCUGUGCCAAGAUCUUCUUCAGAGGAGAAAAAGCAUUUAAUUUUCAGUGGUUGGACAAUAAAAGCAAGAUUUAUUGCAGCAAGUGAAUAAUAAAAAAAGAAUAACAAGAAAACA